CUACGGGCGGCUGCAGUGAGGAAUAUUGCACAAUGGGGGGAACCCUGAUGCAGCAACGCCGCGUGGAGGAUGACGCAUUUCGGUGUGUAAACUCCUUUUAUAUGUCAAGAAAAUGACGGUAGCAUAUGAAUAAGCACCGGCUAACUCCGUGCCAGCAGCCGCGGUAAUACGGAGGGUGCAAGCGUUACUCGGAAUCACUGGGCGUAAAGGACGCGUAGGCGGGUUGGAAAGUCAGGUGUGAAAUCCUACAGCUUAACUGUAGAACUGCACUUGAAACUUCUAAUCUAGAGUAUGGGUGGGGGAGAUGGAAUUAGUGGUGUAGGGGUAAAAUCCGUAGAUAUCACUAGGAAUACCUAAAGCGAAGGCGAUCUCCUGGAACAUUACUGACGCUAAGGCGUGAAAGCGUGGGGAACAAACAGGAUUAGAUACCCUGGUAGUC
rnacentral:rRNA from 1 species